GCAUCCAUCUUUGCCUGUGCCCCUCUGUGCCCUUGCUUAAUUGAGUGACACCUGUCUUUUUAGUAACCACAACCAACACUGUUAACUUGCCAAUAUUUAAAAUAAUAAAAAAUAAACCAAAUAUUCAAGAAAAAAAAUUAAGAAAACAACCCUAGCACCCUAAAUUAUUUUACUAACCACAACCAACUCUGUUCAUAAAUUAUUUUCGACGCCAUGCCCAAUUUUCUCUGCUCUUUUCCCCUUUCUCAAUUCUCUUUCCAUGUUCUGCAAUUCCUGCGAUUCAUGACUGUUAGGUUGGUUUUAAGUCGACCUCUUCUCUGGUCAUUGCCGGCGAGAUUGUCCGUAGCUUUCACAUCGAAAUUUUUAUCGGUGAGUUUAUGAACAGAGACACUGCAAAAUUAAAUCCCUACCUCUCGCACUCCCCCCGUCGCUCUGUAAUCUGUAUGCAUUAGGUUUCAAAAUAGCAGGCCAUAGCUUCGGACUGCUGCGACAUCAACCUCGGCGGCCGACUGGUACCGCGAAAUGUACUAUUUUGGAACCGAAUGAAGGAAAAUGAGUAAACAUCAACACUUUUGUUUGAUUUGGCGGUGAGGGGUUCGAUCGACGAUUCGAUAUCGAAUCUGAAUCCUAAAUAUGGUGCGGCAAUUUGAGAGAGUGGGAAACGGCCUGUUCGGCAGCGAUGUGGAGGAGAAGAAGUACGGCGGCGGGUAUGGUGGCUGACUGAUGUGGUCGAGUGGUGGCUGUCGUCUGGGUUGGGGAUGAAAGUGGCUGAUAGAAGGACAGGUGUCAUUCAAUUAAGCAAGGCACAAAGGGGAAUGGUGCAGAAAAUUUCAACUCUCCUCCUCCGCCUAAAGGUACUGUUUGAUUAUCUAAUUCAAAUCAUGUUUAAAUUACAAACAUUAAAUUUUGGCUGAUGUUAUUAGCAUUUCAAAAUGGUUAUUGUUCACUCCUCUUCGCAUGAUAAUUGUGUUGAAAUAAUAUCUGGCAAAUGUUUUGGUGCACCUUGAACACGACCAUUUAGUAUUAUUAUUUUAUUUAUUUAUUAAUACAUUUUAAAACUGAGACAUAUCAACCAUAUUUUGUACUGAUAUAUACCUAUUUAAUUUGGGUAAUACUAGAGAGAAUAAAUUUGUAGAUAAAAUUUACAAACUAAAUGAUAUGUUAGCAAUAGAAAAUGAGCACGUGUAUCAAUGCUUAAGUAAUAAUCUAAUCAUCAACUUCUAUGUCAUUUAAUUUACAAAAUUUAAUAUUCCCAUCAUUACUCAUUUAAUUUACCUCCAAAAUGAGUUGAAAUUUUCUGCACCAUUUUCGCCUGUGACCCCUUUGUGCCUUGCUUAAUUGAACGACACCUGUCCUUCUACUAACUAGAACUAACACUGUUAAGGCACAUAUUAAGGAAGGAGGAUUCUCUACCUCUUAUUCUCAUCUCUUUCCAUCUCCUCCUUUCACACAUUACUUUUUGUUUUAUUAUUUCUAUAAAAAAAUCAAUAUAAAAUGUUGACGUGACUUAACCGUGACCGUUUAAAUAGGAAGAGAUAGAAGGAUAGAGAGAUUAGGAAGGUAGAGAAUCUUGGUCCCAUAUUAAGGCCAUAAACUCUAUCUGGUCCAUUUCCAGCGGAAGUGUUGUACAGCUUGGAAACAGAAAGAUUUGAAGGCAAUGAAUUGAGCAGGCUGUGGAGGUUUUUGAAACGUACUAUUUUCGACUUAGACAUCAUAAACCAUCAAAUAAUAGUAACAUAUGCUUUGGAUUUUGUGGGUUUUUAUUUAUUUAUGUACGUUACAUAUGAGAUUAGCAUGUCUCAUAGGUUACACAACUAGAAUUAAACUUCAUUGCCUAGCCUGCUCUCCAUAUGUAUGUAUGCCUAAUUUUCGGACAUAUUGAAUUGAAAUUAUGAGUUUCAUUUUCA